UGCAUUUUUUGCACUUUACACAAAAACUUUGUUGUUUUUUUUUUGUUUGUUUGUUUUUUUUUUGCAUUUUAAGCAUGUAUGGCUUCUUGUCUUUUAGUCUUUUGUUGAUGAUGAUGCUUACUUGAAUCUACUAAUUACGAUUUUAUCUUAUACUUGUUUGAUGUUAAGUAGUUUUCUUGAAUUACCCAAAUCUUUUUGGUAAUAUGAUAGAUUGUUCAAAAAGUUUCAAGUAGAAGAUAUGCUAUUCGAAGAACAGAAUGAAGAAAGAGUAUUGAUGGACAUAAAUUUAUCUAAUCAAGAGUACAUUGGGGAAAUGAAUGCCGCUAGAGAUAUGAUUGCAAGAGUAUUGUGGCAUGACCAUACACGAGAUAAUGUGUAUGUCAAUCUUUAUUUGUCAUAUAUUUGAGUUUAUGAUCUUCUUCUUCUUCUUGUUCUUAAAUAUCAUAUAGAAAUUUUUUUUUGGUUUCUAUGUAGGUGCCGUUCUCUAUAUUGAAAGGAAUAGAUGUAGAUAUUUAGGCAUGUUUUAGGUGCCGUUCUCUAUAUUGAAAUGAAUAGAUGUAGAUAUUUAGGCAUGUUUUAGAUGCAAAUAUUUUGUACUCUUUUGUUCUUUAUAUUUUGUGUUGUAAACAUAAUUAGCACAAAUGAACUACUUUAAUGUCUAUAAUAAAUAUAAUUGUAGUAUGAAUUUU
rnacentral:lncRNA from 1 species